UUAAAUAUUAAUGAAAUAAUCUUAUAUAUGUUUCGUCUCUCAUCUGGAUUUGGCCAUUGAAGGACCACAACACCUCUCAACAACCACUCCGUCAUCGUCGGGUUUUGGGGUAAAAGAUCACCGGAGUUUCGGCGACUUCGUCAUCGUCGAGUAGAAGAUGCCUCCGCAGGUGGGUAUUUUCAGUCACCAAAUAUAAGAUCUACGGGUUUCAUCUCCGUGUAAAGAUCGGUGUGUCAAUGCUCCUGUCCUUCGUGGUUGUCGCCGACAACUACUCUCCGGUUAAGCAGCCGGAUAUCGGAGGAACUGCGUCGUCGCUGCCGGUGAGUUGAAUCGCCGGAGGAAGGUUUUCGGUGUGGAGAUUUGAUGCGUACCCGGAUUGUGAUGAACAGAAAUUAUCUGAAACCAAAAUGGUGUUAAUGAAUUCCUGAUGUUGAAGAUCGCCGAUAAUUUUUCCGUGAAGAGUCCGUUCGUGCUGAUAACGUGUUAUAAAACCACUGAGAAAUCUGUAUUGAAUCUUCAAUCUAUAUGUUCCAUAUGAUACAAAUGUCAUACCUCUAAAUAACAACAUACAAUAGUAUAUAUAACGUGUGUGUGUGUUAAUUGUCAAAACAGUUAUGAGAGGUUAACUGCCAAGGCAGUUACAACAGUUAUGAGAGGUUAAAUGCCAAGGCAGUUACAAGGGGUGUUUUGUAUAUCUGUUUUAUGACAGUAUGUAAAUUUUGGCUAAUUUAAUGAGCCAAUAUAUGUUGUAUGUAAAUUUUAAAAUAUGUGAUUCAUGCUAUAA